rnacentral:rRNA from 1 species
UACAGAGGGUGCAAGCGUUAAUCGGAAUGACUGGGCGUAAAGGGCGCGUAGGCGGUAGAUUAAGCUGGAGGUGAAAAGCCUGGGCUCAACCUGGGACCAGCCUCCAGGACUGAUGUGCUAGAGUAGGGUAGAGGGAAGUGGAAUUUCCGGUGUAGCGGUGAAAUGCGUAGAGACCGGGAAGAACACCAGUGGCGAAGGCGGCUACCUGGACAGGUACUGACGCUAACAGCGCGAAAGCUAGGGGAGCAAACAGG